UACGUAGGGUGCGAGCGUUGUCCGGAAUUAUUGGGCGUAAAGAGCUCGUAGGCGGUUUGUUGCGUCUAUCGUGAAAACCUGCAGCUUAACUGUGGGCUUGCGGUGGAUACGGGCAGACUUGAGUUCGGUAGGGGAGACUGGAAUUCCUGGUGUAGCGGUGAAAUGCGCAGAUAUCAGGAGGAACACCGGUGGCGAAGGCGGGUCUCUGGGCCGAUACUGACGCUGAGGAGCGAAAGCGUGGGGGAGCGAACAGG
rnacentral:rRNA from 1 species